rnacentral:rRNA from 1 species
CCUACGGGAGGCAGCAGUGAGGAAUAUUGGUCAAUGGACGCAAGUCUGAACCAGCCAUGCCGCGUGCAGGAAGACGGCUCUAUGAGUUGUAAACUGCUUUUGUACGAGGGUAAACGCAGAUACGCGUAUCUGUCUGAAAGUAUCGUACGAAUAAGGCUCGGCUAACGCCGUGCCAGCAGCCGCGGUAAUACGGAGGAUUCAAGCGUUAUCCGGAUUUAUUGGGUUUAAAGGGUGCGUAGGCGGUCGGAUAAGUUAGAGGUGAAAUCCCGCGGGGCAACUUCGGACUUGCCUCUGAUACUGGUCGGCUAGAGAGUAGUAGCGGUAGGCGGAAUGUGUGGUGUAGCGGUGAAAUGCUUAGAGAUCAUACAGAACACCGAUUGCGAAGGCAGCUUACCGGGCUACUUCUGACGUUGAGGCACGAAAGCGUGGGGAGCGAACAGGAUUAGAUACCCUAGUAGUC